GGCCACGGCUGCCAGAGCGGCGCCUGCUACACCAGGAAGCGCUGUGGCUCGCAGGUCGACGACGCGCUCUGCACCAACAACUACUGCUGCAGCAAGGAUGGCUACUGCGGCCUAGGCGACGAGUACUGCGGCGAGGGCUGCCAGGGCGACCCCUGCGGCGCCAACAUCAGGUGCGGCAACCAGGCCGAGCCCGGCAUUGGCGAGGUCUGCACCAAGAACCUCUGCUACAGCGAGUGGGGGUACUGCGGCCUCGGCCCCGAGUACUGCGGCACCGGCUGCCAGAACGGCGACUGUAGCACCUACGAGCCGUGUGGCAAACAGGCCGGCGGCACCCCUUGCACCUACAACUACUGCUGCAGCCGGUACGGUUCCUGUGGCCUCGGCUCACUGUACUGCGGUGCAGGCUGCCAGAGUGGCAGAUGCUAUGAUUUCGUGGCCGGUGCCGUCACCGGCAACGGCACCGCCAGGAUGAACUUUACCCUCCGAGCGGAGUAA
rnacentral:rRNA from 1 species